rfam:Trichobilharzia regenti genome assembly, scaffold: TRE_scaffold0029275
AUACUGAUGAAGAGUCCCAAACUAGGACGAAACGACUGUCCAGUGAU